UACGUAGGGUGCAAGCGUUGUCCGGAAUUAUUGGGCGUAAAGAGCUCGUAGGCGGUUUGUCGCGUCUGCUGUGAAAAUCCAGGGCUUAACCCUGGACCUGCAGUGGGUACGGGCAGACUGGAGUGCGGUAGGGGAGAUCGGAAUUCCUGGUGUAGCGGUGAAAUGCGCAGAUAUCGGGAAGAACACCCGUGGCGAAGGCGGCUCUCUGGGACGGUACUGACGCUGAGACGCGAAAGCGUGGGGAGCGAACAGG
rnacentral:rRNA from 1 species